rnacentral:tRNA from 1 species
UGCCCCAUGGCUGAGUUGGUUACAGCGUCCGACUGUUAUUUACGAACAUCGGAAGGUCGAGAGUUCGAGCCUCUCUGGGGCAG